rnacentral:miRNA from 1 species
GUAUCAGACUGGAAAAGUUAAUGCCCUUUGCGUUAGCAGACACAGCGCAAGGCCUUAAUUUUUCCCGCCUGCUA